rnacentral:lncRNA from 1 species
ACUAUUUGAUUUAAUUUUGGGAUUUGGUUUUGACUUGCUUAUUUAUUUGUGAUGGGUUUUACUAAAAUAAUGGUUUUUUGAAAAUACGAACGAGAUUACCAAAUUAAACAUUUUAUGACUACCGUUUUACUUAUGUUUGUGCAAAUAAAUAAACUAAACAAACGCUUUCGAAAAUAGAUAUAAAUGAAUAUGAGUUUUGAAACUGGAAUAAUUUGACGAAACGACUCCGUUUUCAAAAACCUUACCUUGUGACAUCACCAGAUUUGACCAUAACGUCUAGGCCGAGUUAGCGAUUUAGUGGUAUCAGAGCUAGGUUA